CCGGAAGUAAACCUGUGGUGCGCUUGUUGAGGACAGAACAUUGAAGCUCCCCUUGAACUGAAUGGGAAUAUCAGACCUCUGAAGUCAAAAUGAAACGUUCUCGAUGGUAUUUUGAAACUUGAGUGAUUACCGUUUCAUAUGGAAAGCAUAUAGAAAAAUAUGCAUUAUGUAAUAAAAUAUGCACAUUUUAAUAAAUAUUUUCCCAAGACUACUGGACCAAAAUAAUGACGCACAUAAUGCACUUUAUGAUAACAAAAAAUGGACCGAUGAGGUUUUCUUUGGUUGUUAAAUCACCUUGGAUUUCUACAUUGAAUUCAACGGCCAGGAAGCGCUUUUGCCCUCAAGUAUGCAGAGUAGAGGCUGUUUCCCUGCUACUUCCUAGGCUUCACUGCCCCUCCUACCCUCUCCAGUUUCUAUGUACACUUUAUGGUUCAAUGAACCAACCUUAUUCCCUAUAUGAUACUGGGCAAUUACGCUACUCAAGUAAGUAAGGUAAGGUAAUCUUUAUUAUCCCUGAGGGGCAAUUUGUUGCACAGCCAGCAGUAAAUACAAUCAUCAUCAAGAAAGAUGUGUUCCUAGCCAGUUAUGGUAAUGUAUGGGUAAAUAGUAUUAUACUUGCAUAAGAUGUAUUCCAGACAGUAUCACCAUAUGAUCUUUCUUUUACCUGUCACCAAUUACAAUUCAUAUAUUUCUGAUUUGACAAUAAGUAUCCAGAAGGACAGAAAGAAACCAGAGUUUCUGUGUUGACAGUUGACUGUGGCUUUAAUGGUGUUGGAGGUCAACAGUCCUAGAGUUUAUUUACCUUCUGUGAAUGUCACCAUAGUGUGUGAAAUAAAUAUUCAGAAAAUGUUCUCUGCUUAUUUGUUGGUAUUACUGAUUUAUCUGUUUGGUUCACCCACAUCCAACCCAUGGCCAUAAGAACAGUGUUAGAUCUGGCAUCAAUGACAUUAUUGUGUCUGCCUCACAUACAGAACAUUAAACACAUUUCAAAGCUGUCCUACACAAGCUACAGGAGGCUGGUUGCAUCUGAACAAAGACAAAUGGCAUGAUUCUGCCGUCCAUUAUGCUCCAACUCCCAGUGGCUCUACGUCCCUCAGGUCCUUCCUUGGCCUGACCCUGCGGUACACCAAGUUUAUUCCAAACUACGAAACCAUCACAGAACCAGUGAGAUGUCUGCUCUGUGAGCCUAUGUUCAUAUGGAUUGCUGAUGCACAGAACAGUUUCUAGCCUGGAGCUGAGAACAGUACUGCAGUCUACCCUGUGAGGAUGGCGGCCAGGGUCAUGGAACCUGAGACUGCUGCUUUUUCCUGUUGCCUGCCAUUUCCACGUCUGACUCGACAGAUCCCUGCUGCUCGUGCCCUGAGCUAAGUAAACUACGCACCUACAUCACAAAUGAGUGGCCUGCUACAGCCAAAUCACUGCCUACAGACAUGAUGCCGUACUACCGGAUUAAAGAUGAACUGUCAAUGCAUGAGUCACUAAUGCUGCUGCUACAGUGUUCAGCCAUACAGGAAAUCAAAUAACUAUUGUGGCAGACAACAGUCUACAGCUGAUCUCUGUCAUCUUUGCAGAGAGAUACAGCACAUUCGUACAGCUGUAUAUCAUCCCAGAAAGAAAUGCAGUGGUGGGGAGAUUCAACAGUGUUCACAGAGUGCAUUUUUGCUGUAUAGAGAGAAAACGCUCCAUGGGAAGCUCAUGUUCCUCCAGAUCUACAGGGCAACAUCACGUGACUACAUCACAGUUCAAACUUCUGUAUGGACUUAAGAUGAGAACCAAAGUCGCCAUUGAGCCGAAGAUCCCAGUCGCUGAAGACAACGAGCUGCGAGACAGAGCUGAAAAGAAACAACUGAAUAUGAAAACACACAUUGAUCAAAAGAGACGUGUAAACCCACCCAAUAUCUGCUCAGCAUGUCUUGUACGUGUGAGGAGACCCGAGCUCGUGAGAAAAGGAAAAUCAAAGUUCGGCGAGUCUCUUUGAGUGACACAUCAGACGGGACCAUACAGUUCCACACUGAGUGAUGGAAAGACUCGGGAUGCUGCCCACCUGUCUGUGCUGCCAGUGAGGCCCCCUCCUGUGGCUGAAGAACAACAAGCAGUGGAGCCUGAAUCAAGUACCACUGCAAGAGCUGAGAGCCAGCGCAGCAGGAGGGAGCCUGCCUGGCUCAAGGACUUGGCUACAGCUUGUCAGGCUGGUUUCUGUCGGGCCCUAAAGACAUUGGUCUCAGGCAGGCUCAGGCCUCAUUUGUUUCCCGGUGCAGACCUCUACUUCUUCAUAUACAGUGUUGGCCAGUUUUGAUGAUUUUAUUUGAAGCAUGCAUGUGUUGGUAUAGAAUAUUAUACCUCAAAUGUAUGUAUUCUGACAUUCCCUGUUCACUUUUUUUUUUACUCUGUUUUCUCUGGACAUUUUCACACUUAUCCCCACCUUAAAGUUCAAAA